rnacentral:rRNA from 1 species
UACGUAGGGUGCAAGCGUUAAUCGGAAUUACUGGGCGUAAAGCGUGCGCAGGCGGUUUUGUAAGACCGAUGUGAAAUCCCCGGGCUUAACCUGGGAACUGCAUUGGUGACUGCAAGGCUUGAGUGUGUCAGAGGGAGGUGGAAUUCCGCGUGUAGCAGUGAAAUGCGUAGAUAUCUGGAGGAACACCGGUGGCGAAGGCGGCAUCCUGGACCGAAGUUGACGCUGAGGCGCGAAAGCCAGGGGAGCAAACGGG